CAGCAGCCGCGGUAAUACGGGGGGAGCAAGCGUUGUUCGGAUUUACUGGGCGUAAAGGGCGCGUAGGCGGCCACCGCAAGUCGACUGUGAAAUCUCCGGGCUUAACCCGGAAAGGUCAGCCGAUACUGCGGGGCUAGAGUGCAGAAGGGGCAACUGGAAUUCUCGGUGUAGCGGUGAAAUGCGUAGAUAUCGAGAGGAACACCUGCGGCGAAGGCGGGUUGCUGGGCUGACACUGACGCUGAUGCGCGAAAGCUAGGGGAGCGAACGGGAUUAGAUACCCCGGUAGUCCUAGCCUUAAACGAUGAAUGCUUGGUGUCUGGGGUUUUAUAGUCCCCGGGUGCCGUCGCUAACGCUUUAAGCAUUCCGCCUGGCGAGUACGGUCGCAAGACUGAAACUCAAAGGAAUUGACGG
rnacentral:rRNA from 1 species